CUGCACGUCGCACCCCGGGCUUCUCUGAAAAUAUUUCAAUGACGAAGAAAGCCCCAAUGCUCGUGCUAAAGCUGCGCCAUUUAGUGUUGCAGGUUUGCUUUGAUUUAAACAGCUUAUUUGUGUCAAAAUAGUGGCUAAAUCU